CUACGGGAUGCUCCAGUGGGGAAUAUUGCACAAUGGAGGAAACUCUGAUGCAGCAACGCCGCGUGGAGGAUGACACUUUUCGGAGCGUAAACUCCUUUUAUAUAGGAAGAAGAUGACGGUACUAUAUGAAUAAGCGCCGGCUAACUCCGUGCCAGCAGCCGCGGUAAUACGGAGGGCGCAAGCGUUACUCGGAAUCACUGGGCGUAAAGAGCGUGUAGGCGGAUUAAAAAGUCAGAAGUGAAAUCCUAUAGCUUAACUAUAGAACUGCUUCUGAAACUCUUAAUCUAGAAUAUGGGAGAGGUAGAUGGAAUUUCUGGUGUAGAGGUAAAAUCCGUAGAGAUCAGAAGGAAUACCGAUUGCGAAGGCGGUCUACUAGAACAUUAUUGACGCUGAGACGCGAAAGCGUGGGGAGCAAACAGGAUUAGAUACCCCCGUAGUC
rnacentral:rRNA from 1 species